GCAGACAACAGGUGUGCGUCUUCCGCGGGAAACGUGUGAGACGUAUUUUGCGUAUUUUGCUUCAUUCUUCGGUGUCUGAAGCCGCAAUGCGUGAUUAUAGGCGUUUAUUGUCAUUCGGGAACGGUUUGUGUUGUCAUGCAGGAAGGAAAAAAGCACAGACAAAGCGCCAUCGACAGUGUGAUUACCACCGAGUGCCAUGCAGAAACGUUUACGGUAGCACUCAAGUGCUGGCGUGUGACGUUAUUUUGCGUUAUUUAACGGCGUUUUAAGUCGUAUUAUUAUAAUAAAGCGUUUCUCGUGAUGAAGCAGUGUUAUGUUAACACAGAGCAAGAGGAAAUACUGACAAAGUACUACUUAAUUAAAUUUCAGUCGAGAAUUUUAGCUUAGUUUGUGAAGCCGGCCAGAAUGAAGACGUUUGUGCAAAGGUGUUUUGAUGGCGCACUCACAUACCAAGCCCGGGACAAUGGUGACUUUGAAAAUGAUCGGGAGGCUGUAACCUUGGAGUAAUGCGUUAGGCAGAACGCCGCCGCUCGUUUUACGGUUUCUUAGCGAAUGCUGGAAGGUCGAUUUUUUGGGACAUUAGGUAUGCGUCCUUCUGCGGACCAGGUGACAACAUUGAAGACUGCUUUGGGCUGCCCCCAGAUGACAAAAGUGCUCCAGAUCAUAAGGUCGUGAUCACAGGCAGCUAACUGCACCACUAUCUGUCCAAGAUGCCUCUAUAUGGUCCCCACUUCGCCAUAUACCUUCAACAAUACAUCGAUCUCUUCAUGAACUGAGGUUGACAACAUAUUGUUAUAUUUCUUUCUUUCUUGAUCGUAAUAUUUUUUAAAGUCAAUUUUGCUAUCAAAUUGCAUUGAGAAUUAUUCUUCAAUUCAAUGUAGUCUGUUGCUAAACUUUAGCUAGAAGAUAGGGUGCUUCAUGAAAUCAGGAUAGCUUAUCUUGCUUUUGACCUGAGAGGACCUGGAAGCUUACAUUUUCUGAUUGCCACAGUCCCCUGUAGUGAAAAGAAAAAUCUAAUACCAUCUUAUUAUUCAUUACACCCUGGAAACAUUCCCAGCAUCAUAUGCUGUGAAAUUUCACAGAUUU